CACGUAGGGGGCAAGCGUUGUCCGGAUUUAUUGGGCGUAAAGAGCUCGUAGGCGGCUCAUUGCGUCAACCGUGAAAUCCUGCUGCUCAACGGCAGGUCUGCGGUUGAUACGGGUGGGCUGGAGUUCGGUAGGGGAGACUGGAAUUCCUGGUGUAGCGGUGAAAUGCGCAGAUAUCAGGAGGAACACCCAUGGCGAAGGCAGCAAACUGGGCAUCAACUGACGCUGAGGCGCGAAAGCGUGGGUAGCAAACAGG
rnacentral:rRNA from 1 species